AUGCACUCUGGAUUGUGCGAUCAAGGAAUAGUCACAUCUUUGUACUUUGUGACGCUUUUAGUUGUGGUACCAGAACAGUCCAAUCGGUACGCUCACUGCGAGAUAUCAACGCUGCGUCUUUUGUAGAACUGCAGCUGCAGGAGUAAAGGUGGAAGGCGUCAACCCGCAGCCGGACGAGAAUCCUUGUAGCAUUGCUCGGUUUCCGAGAAGCCUGCUGAGGUGGAAAGUUGACGGGGCCUGAGCAGACGAGUGCUUUUCCACACAAAUGUGGCAAGUGUGUCAUUAAGUGAGUUAAAUAAUACGGGGUUGUUUUUGCCCGCGAUUGACUGCCAUGAUGAGGCUUUCUAAAGAGUACAAAUACCGGGCCCGAGUGUUACUGCUUCGCUGGUCGACUAUACUGGUCCAGAGGCGCAACUGCGCAGCAGUACCACAACAAAGGCAUCGGUUGUUGCUCAGUGGGCUAAACAUACAAGAAAAAUCAUCGGAUGCGCCUGUCGCACCUCAUGGCCUGGCGGUGGUGCGUCUGGGAGGAGAUAAAUGGUUUGUUUAUGGUCGCAAAUGUGACGGUUGAUGCUGUUCAUUUUUGCAUUUCCAUAGAGCAGAUUUGAGCUCCUGGUGUUAGGGCGUGGCCUGCUACCAAUCUGCUCUUCUCCACUUAAGAUCAACAAAGAAUCAAGGGUGAAUUGAACCCCUGUGAAAAGAAGAUACAACCUCUCCUAGCUGAGUGGUUGCCGUAAAAUUUCUGCCGAAAUCAAAGUGCUGUUCAGGUUUAGCUGAUAAUCGCGAGUAUGCAGCCUUCACAGAUUUGAGACUGCCAUCCUCGUAGAGAAAUGAUCGCGGCAUUCGUGAGACACUCCUUUGCAGAGAGUGCUGCGGAUACGGUUCCCGUGCACGCCCGAC
rnacentral:lncRNA from 1 species